UGCAUACCUACAAUGUGUUAGGCAACAUGAUAGGAAAAUUUCAUUUUGCAAUACAUUGCCAUGCCAGUCUUAGAGGGGUAAGUGCAUUCUAGGAAGGGGAAUAAAUGUAAAGGCUCAAUCCUGUUAAACUCUAGCUGCAUCUAAAGUUGCAGCUAGAGUUUAACAAUAGUGCAAAACAAAGUUUUGAUUCCGUUUUCUAAUCUCUACAGUGAGAAAAGAAGAACACGCUUCCUCCUAACUAAUGAAGAUUAAAUGAGUUAGGCAGGGAAGCACUCAGCACAGGGCCCAGCUCUAUGUGCAAAAUUACUGAGAUUCUCACACACUACCUGGACUGACACUGGCUACACGUUAUUUGGAGAAACUAUAUUGACUAAC
rnacentral:lncRNA from 1 species